GGUUCGAACAAGUUCAAGUGAUUUCGAGCUUUUCGUCGAUCAUUAAUCCGUAACUACGGGCGGGCCUGUCAUUUGUUGAACCACAUAAAGCGUAGUGCUUGAGGUGUCUAAUUAGGUGUACUGUUAAGAAAUUUUGGAGUAACGAUGACGCUCACAACUAUUCCACGUUGCAAAAAAAUUGAAACACGAUGUGGUCGACUAGCAGGUCGAUUUUAAAUACAAAGCGAAUCUUUCCUUUGCUAUGUGCAAAAAAAGGCCAUUUGCAGGAAGAAACAAAAAAUAACAAUAACAAUUUUGGCCAUAAAGUUUUCGGGAUUUUUUUGAGUCGACUUGAGCAGUUUAUACCACCGUAGCUGGAAUCAAUGUUCUGUAGGACAUCGGUCGAUGUCGCUAAUGACGGAAGUAUCUCCGACUUUAUCUCCUCUUCAUCCAAAUGAAGCGCAAAAAAUUUAUGGAUGAAACCAACCUUAAAAGUGCGUUUCAUAGUAACUCUAGAAUAUUUUGUAGAUG